rnacentral:rRNA from 1 species
CCCUUAGAUGUUCUGGGCCGCACGCGCGCUACACUGACGAAGUCAGCGAGCAUGUCCUACGCCGACAGGUGCGGGGAAUCUUGUCAAACUUCGUCGUGAUGGGGAUUGAUUAUUGAAAUUCUUGAUCAUCAACGAGGAAUUCCUAGUAAGCGCAAGUCAGCAGCUUGCGUUGAUUACGUCCCUGCCCUUUGUACUCACCGCCCGUCGCUACUACCGAUUGAAUGGUUUAGUGAGAUCUUCGGAUUGGCGCCACUGCGGCUCAGCAAUGGGCUCGGUGGAUGCCGAAAAGUUGAUCAAACUUGAUCAUUUAGAGGAAGUAAAAGUCGUAACA